UCCGUGCGCCACGGUGUCUGCGUUUCCAAUUCCCAGCACUGCUUCCGGGCAGGGGGAGGGGGGUCCCGGGGCCACGCCGAGAAGGCAAGCCUACCCUGGUUGUGGCCACCAGGUGUUGCCAGGAGCUGAGCCCACAGCCCAGACCCACCCCAGCGCAUCACGCGACCAAUGUGUGUCCUGCUUGGAUUGGCCAGCCUCGGCCGUGCACCUGCCCCACCUGCAUGACACCCUGAAGUUGAAGCCUGAGCAGAGGGGCCAGUGCUGGGAGGUGUCCCCCGGGCCUCACUUUGUAACCAGAAGGAGAGGUGUGUGUGUGCCUCAGCCCCUUCCAGGCAGGCAAGACCCACACUGUCUGAGAGCCUCCCUUCCACUCUGCACGGGGGGCCCUUGGUGGCCGAGUGAGGACUGGCGAGGGCCUGGGUGUCCCACGGCGUCACCCUUGCCUGCAUGAGGUCCCGGGCUGUGAGAACGUGGGCCUGUGGCUUGGGGCCUGUCACAGCACAGCUGGGGCUGGAGGGAGAGCGUCCACUCCCAAGCAAGGCCACCGGCUGCCAGUCCAAAGUCCCAGGGCUGAGGGCACUCAGUUCCCAGGGGACCCCCACUUGCAGCCGAGGCUGGUUGCACCUACGGGGGCCUCACCGCCUUUCCUGCUUCCUGUCCCACACCGGUUAGUGUGAGGUCACCCUGGGGGCACCCAAGGUAUGUGCACGUCCACAGACAGCGUGACAAGCACCCGUGACGUCUACUCGGGGGAGGCCCUGUCCGGGGCUGGAGGCGGAAGGAGCUCUUAUGUUGGGGGUCGGGGCUCCCCACGGUUGCAGACACGCUGGGAUGCCUCACGAGGCUGCACGCCAGCGUGAGGGCGCUGGCCGGUGUCGGCCCGGAGCCAUUGGGACGGGGCUGCUGUCACCCACGAUGGCCGAUGCGGCAGGGAGAGGGGACCGCUGACUUGGCUCUCAGGGCCCGAGUCCAGUCCCGGCUUCGGCACCGCAGGUCUGGUGACAAGUGGCCCGCAGGCCGAGGGCGGCCCCUGACCGGCCUUCAGAUGGUGGCCGGCUGACAGAGAAGCUAUGAGACUGGACAGAGAGGACGACAGCACACCCCAAAACCCUGCUGUGGGGUUCCCGCCGCCCAUCCCAUGCCCCUAUUUGUGCCAAUGGUUUCGCCCUUCCCCAUCCAUCUUUGAAGCAAAACAAAGUGGACAGGAUUGCUUCUUGUCUCCUGUUGAGCUGGGCUCGCCUGUCAGGGAGCCACCAAGGAGGUGGGCUCGGGGCUUUGACCCUCAAGAGGGAUGGUGCAGGGAGGGGGGGCCGCCGGGACCCCCUAUAUGCCUCUCACUGGGCCCUUUCCUUUUUAAACCAGUUUUAUUGGGGCAAAAAAUAUAUAACAUAUAACCAGCCAUCGUGACCGUUUUUAAGUGCGGAACUCAGUGCCUUUGCCUGCAUUCACAACGUUUGCAACUGUCAGCACUAUCGAUUUCCAAAAUUUUCAUCAUCCCGAACAGAAACCCGGUCUCCAUUAGGCAAUAACUCUCCAUCCCCCUCCCCCCAGCCCCUGGUAACCUCCACACUACUUUCGGACUGAAUUCGCCUGCCCUACACAUUUCGUAACAGCGGGUUGGACGUUUGUCCUUUUCUGUCUGGAAUCUUCCGCUUUACGUGAUGCCA